rnacentral:misc_RNA from 1 species
GAUGAAGAACGCAGCAAAAUGCGAUAAGUAAUGUGAAUUGCAGAAUUCAGUGAAUCAUCGAAUCUUUGAACGCACAUUGCGCCCGCUGGUAUUCCGGCGGGCAUGCCUGUUCGAGCGUCAUUUCAACCCUCAAGCCCCCGGGUUUGGUGUUGGGGAUCGGCUCUGCCCUUCUGGGCGGUGCCGCCCCCGAAAUACAUUGGCGGUCUCGCUGCAGCCUCCAUUGCGUAGUAGCUAACACCUCGCAACUGGAACGCGGCGCGGCCAUGCCGUAAAACCCCAACUUCUGAAUGUUGACCUCGGAUCAGGUAGGAAUACCCGCUGAACUUAAGCAUAUCAUAAGCGGUGGA